rnacentral:rRNA from 1 species
GACCAGACUCCUACGGGAGGCAGCAGUGAGGAAUAUUGGUCAAUGGGCGAGAGCCUGAACCAGCCAAGUCGCGUGAAGGAUGACGGCCCUACGGGUUGUAAACCUCUUUUGUCAGGGAGCAAUUGGCGCUACGUGUAGCGUUAUCGAGAGUACCUGAAGAAAAAGCAUCGGCUAACUCCGUGCCAGCAGCCGCGGUAAUACGGAGGAUGCGAGCGUUAUCCGGAUUUAUUGGGUUUAAAGGGUGCGUAGGCGGAAUGCCAAGUCAGCGGUAAAAUCGCGGGGCUCAACCUCGCUCCGCCGUUGAAACUGGCGUUCUUGAGUGGGCGAGAAGUAUGCGGAAUGCGUGGUGUAGCGGUGAAAUGCAUAGAUAUCACGCAGAACUCCGAUUGCGAAGGCAGCAUACCGGCGCCCAACUGACGCUGAAGCACGAAAGCGUGGGUAUCGAACAGGAUUAGAUACCCUAGUA